rnacentral:rRNA from 1 species
CCUACGGGUGGCAGCAGUGGGGAAUAUUGCACAAUGGGGGAAACCCUGAUGCAGCGACGCCGCGUGAGUGAAGAAGUAAUUCGUUAUGUAAAGCUCUAUCAGCAGGGAAGAAAAUGACGGUACCUGAGUAAGAAGCCCCGGCUAACUACGUGCCAGCAGCCGCGGGAAUACGUAGGGGGCAAGCGUUAUACGGAUUUACUGGGUGUAAUGGGAGCGUAGACGGCAGGGCAAGUCUGGAGUGAAAGGCGGGGGCUCAACCCCCGGACUGCCGUGGAAACUGCCAGGCUGGAGUGCAGGAGAGGUAAGUGGAAUUCCUAGUGUAGCGGUGAAAUGCGUAGAUAUUAGGAGGAACUCCAGUGGCGAAGGCAGCUUACUGGACUGUAACUGACGUUGAUGCUCGAAAGCGUGGGUAGCAAACAGGAUUAGAUACCCUAGUAGUC